CAGAAGAUUGUGGAGAGUUGAAAACAUACAAGGCAAACUGAUAACGUCUCAGGUUUUUUUUCUUUUUCUUUCUUUCUUUCUUUCUUUCUUUCUUUCUUUCUUUCUUUCUUUCUUUCUUUCUUUCUUUUUUUUUUUUUUAAGGAGGCUGUUCUAACAAAUAAGUAAACCAUCCCUCCUCCACCCAGAGAAUGUCAGGUAGUGAGCCUUGGGAACCAUGAAGGAAAUAAAGCCAGUUGCAUACCAUCAAGAGGAGAGGAGGACAUAACUGAGACUGGAUGACAAGGAAAUGUGAAGAUGAGUCCUGAAUAACAAGAGCUGACCAUGUAAAAAAUCGGGGAGAACAUUCCAGUAGGGAGCGCCUUGAGGAGUGCCUUUCUCCUUAUGAUGAGCCACCACAGCACAGAAACUUGCAAAGCUCGGCAGACGCACACCUAGGAACAGGGGUCUCCGAGCAUAACCUGGAUCCUCCCACCCACAUUUGAAAGCGAUUCUGGGCUGAAUGGAAGUGAACAUGCUACUAGCAUCUACCUCUGUUCCUGCAAUGAGGGGCUGCAGGGAGCAAGGAGGCAUUCGGUGGCCCUGCGACAUGCUGCACAAGCCACCUGCAGAGGCUGCGCCAUGCACUGAAGGUGAAUUGUACGGUACCACCACACUGGCCAUUUGACCCCAUCUGAAGGAUUUGUGACCUCCAAGAUAAUAUCAAGGUCAAACUAAUGGUCUGGCCUGUAAGUUUACCUGCUGCACAUUCUUCUCUAAGUGAGAAUUUCCUGAGGCUGAGGAAUUAGAGCUGUGAAGGGCUUAUUCUCUCUGCACUUUGCCUCCAGUGUGCCAGCACCACCUCUGUCCAAAGAUUCCAAUGCCUUUAAGUCACAAAGGGAUUGGUAGAUGAGUUUAACACUAUUGAUGCUAGUUUCUGAUUUUGUGUUUUUAUGAUGUGUGAGUGUGUAUGUCUCUGUGUGUGCCUGUGUGUUUCUUGUGCUUCUUCGUUUUUAUUCCUAUUUGUUUGUUUUAUUUUUGUUUGUUUUCUAAAGGCAAAGAGAAAGGUGUGGAGUCCUUAGAUCCUUAGUCCCCGGCUCAGGGUGCCUGGUUCUGCCUCUGUAGUAUUCCCAGUGCAGACUAUUAACUGGAAGAGCAGCCACAGCUGCUGAAUAGGCCCUCCAUGCAAAUACCAUACUAGCUAGUCAACCAGAGUGGCACCAUCAACUUAUAACUGUUGGAAGAUAAACAAAGAUACUCAGCAUCUACUGGGAUUUUAGCCACUAAGACUAGGAGUGGGAGGAAAGUAUGUGAUGGGUGUAAGGAUAGGGACCAGUGCCAGAUCAACUUAGAAAGACCUAUAGAUGGGGACCGUGGAGAAGGAAAAGCUGGGACACUGCUAGGGUCCACAGAUUUUAGAGAUUUUUAAAGCUGUGGAAGGUUGUGGUUAGGAGGUACAGAGGAUGGCAGGUAAAAGAAACAGGAAUGAGAGGGAACGUGUAUGAGUUGUGUGGGGAAAGAAUAAUAGAGUGUGCCCAAUCUUAGACUGCGUGAGGAAACCGAUCAAUCAUAAAAUGUAACUGAGCAAAUACAAUCAAAAGCAAAGCCACUGUGAGCUAUAUAUGCAAGGGUAGAAAUUAAAAAUAGCUAAUGAAAGAUUUUAAAUACUAAAAAUGACUAAAUUCACCAUAAUAUAAAAUUAAAAAGGGACAAGUAUAAUAAAAGUACGUUAGAUUAAA